UUGCUUUGACGUAGAAGUCACGCGCUUCUCGCAGGAGGAAAGUAGGGUGGCAGUUGUGGCGCAUGCGCGGAAGGGGUCUGAAGGUCUCUCAAAGCUCCGUGAUUUGAGGAGUCCUGGAAUUUUGCUUGAAGUUCAUUGAGUUUAGCUUGCAGUGCGGAUAUUAAGUAACAGCUUUCAAACAAUUUUCAGACGGAAACUGAAAAAACCGAAGAGGUAGAAACUCAAAAACCAGGAAAUUAUAAACAGUUACGUCCAUAGUACUCAUAUUGGUGACUUCGAGAACACUGUCCAACCAUCUCGUCUUCUGUAGCACAUGAUUUCCUCAAAAGAAUGCUCAGAAUUGAAGUUUCUUGAGGGUGUUGAGAAUUGUAGCUUUGGGAGAUAAACUAAUAGUUCUCAGGAUUAUUUGGAGGAAGCCAAAUAUGUAAGUCGCUGACAUUACAGCCCUUUCUCAAAUAAGUUUAAGAUACUUCUAAAGAGAUGUUACUCAUUUCCUUUAAUGUGAAAUAACAUUGAAGUGCUUUGCAGGCAGGCAAGUUGCACUUUUGAAAAUAUUGUUUAUCAGAAAAUAAAAAUUAGCAUGAAAUUCCUGUCUGUUUCUAAUUUGGGGGCCUGGGGGCGGGAGGACGUGCUGGUGUCCAAACUUAUAACUGUGCUACUAUCCUGAUUUUUCCCAUUUCUCUCUUUGGAGAGGAAAACAAGCUGUUAAAUACAGAUGCCCUGUACACUCAAAGUCUAUGAAUUAGAGUGAUACAAAUCAGUACCAAUUUAGACCGGAUUUGAGAGGGGGGCAGAACCGAGUUAUCUGCGACCCAGUUGGUCAGUUCGUUAAGUGUUUUCAUUUAUUUUCUUGAUGGGGGGCGGGGUGGAUGCCCCCCCCCCACCCGGCUACGACUGAGAGAGCUUGUAGACUUGCAACAUUUCAUAUCACUCUGCGCUGCAGGCGUGUCGCCCUUAGCGCGCGCGUAAAUGAAUCCGAGGCAAAAGCGGGCGGAUCCAUUUGGUUUCCUAGAUCGGGAGUCUCUGCUUCGCCGGUUGCCAAGUGACGACAAGAAAGCGCGCGCCUAGUGGAAAAGAACGGAUUGCCGCCGCUGCCGCCGCCGCCUUGCGUUUGCCCUCCUCCUCCUCCUCCUCCUCGAAAGAAUUAACUGCCAGCUGCUUCAGAUGACUGUCUUUCUCUCUGAAAUGCACCUAUGGUCUUUGAAGAGCACCUUGCAUGUUCAAGACCAAGACAUUGGAAUCUAUCAUUACUAUGACAAAAAGGAAGCAGAACCACAAAUUAACUUUGGCUGCUUAUAUGAGAAACAACAGUUAGCAGAAUCUCGAGAUUAUCCUUGGGUACUUAAGAACAAACGUCCGGAAAAGCUGCGAGACACACUUCAGGAGCUGGAGGAACUGAUGCAAAACAGUCGGUGUGUACUGAGCAAAUGGAAGAGCAAAUACGUCUGUCAGCUUCUCUUUCAUUCAGGUGUACUGGUAUCCCUAGGCCUUUCAGGGCCACAGCUGGAGCGAGUGGUGAUUGACAGAACCCUGAUGGGGAAGCUCAUCUCCGACACUAUCAGCGAUGCUGUUCUUACAGACAGUUUCAUGAUCUUGUCAUUUUGGGAGCAAAGCAAACUCUGCUUUAUUCAGUUCACAAAGAAGGCAAAUUCUCCUGAUGCAAACAUAAAGCUUGAAAAACUCUCCUCCUUGGAUUUUAAGAUAUCUUAUAUUGACACACCCGAACUAGGCAAUAGAAGAACAAAGCACCAUCUGGCAAUAAAUAGCAAAGAAGAUAGAGUUAUAUGCUGGUGGUUGGCGGCAAAGGAUGAAGUGUGGCCUUGGUCUCCUGGUUCCAGUGAAAGAGAGAGAGCCAACAUGCUGCUCUUGACCUAUGAGCAUGGCAGCUUGCAGAUUCUGAGUUACAUACGUACCGAUGGGGAUCCACUUGAUGCCAGCUUUAGCUCAUGUAAUCCUUAUCAGAUUCAUACUGUAGAACACGCUUUCAAUGCAGACUACGAGUCCAUGGCUGACAGCUGCAUCUAUGAGUACGUUAAGAAUAAAGUUCAGUGUGUGGCAGUCACUAAAAUACCACUCCUAUCAAAGGCCAUCAGCUGCUGCCGGAACAUUACAGAAGACAAACUUGUUCUGGGGUGUGAAGAUUCUUCAAUAGUCCUAUAUGAAGCCUACCGUCAAGUAACUUUAUCAGCACAGGCAGAACUAUUGCCUGUCGUAAUGUGUUGCCACCCCAGUGAAGCCAUAGUCCUGGUUGGUAGUUCACAAGGGGAACUUCAGCUGUUUGAUAUGGCACUAUCUCCAAUUAAAAUGCAGGUUUUAGCUGAAGACUUCUCAACCAAAUCAACUUUGCAGUUCAGUGAACAUUUUGAUGUAUCCAGCAGCCUCAUCCAGAUCCAGUGGGUUGCUCCUAAAGUUUCAUGUCCAAGUAUGGAUGAUGUAGAUAUCCAUGAUCUUCUCUUACUUCAGUUUGACAAAGGACCUAUUGGAGUGCUGCAUUUUAAAGUUGGUGUCAUGCCAAGAGGGCAGCUUGGCCUUGUAGAAAUCAUCCAGGAAUAUAUUCAUCAGAAUGAGAUACAUGAGGCAAUUAAUAUCCUGAGCAGCAUGAACUGGAACAUAAUGGGCCAUCAAUGCUAUAUAAGCCUAAGUGCCAUACUAAACUAUCUUCUCAGACAAAAGCUGGAUCUUACAAGAGAAGCUCAGCUGGAGGCAAGCCUUGGAACCUUCUAUGCACCCACAAGGCCUCUCUCUGAGACAACUGUGUUGGAAUACAGGGACCAGAUCAGCAGAUAUGCAAGAAGAUUCUUCCACCAUCUGCUCAGGCAUCAAAGAUUUGAAAAGGCCUUUCUGCUUGCUGUUGAUAUUGGUGCCCGGGACUUAUUUAUGGACAUCCAUUACUUUGCACUAGAUAAGGGUGAAUUGGCACUAGCUGAAGUGGCAAAGAAAAAAGCUAACGACAUUGACACAGAAUCAAUAACCACUGGAGUUGAGAUUCCAGGCAAUAUGGACAGAGAAGAUGCUUUGAGUGACACUUUUGUAAACCUGACUAUACUGCCACAGGAGGACCAGAAAGUUCAAGGCAGUCUCCCAACCUUCAGUGCCAGUGCUCGAUGUCUCACACAUGUGACAUACAACAGUUCUACAAGAUCUACUUUUUCUAAGAAGACAGACAAAAGGGACUGUGAAUUUGUAACAGGCAACUGCACAGCUCCAAAGGUGGACAAGCCUGCAUCUUGGUGUCAGACUGAAACUCCCGAGGAAACACGUGAUGGACAGCACACAGCAUAUGGGUCCUGCCAAAAGCCAUUCAGAUUCUGUACAGAAUACUUUGAAAUCAAAAGUGGUUCCAUCGAAGUGGUGCAUUUUGGCCUGGUAUAAGCCAAAUUCUUAAUAGUUAAGAUCUUGGAAGAAAGUCAGGAGGACCCUACCCACCAAUUGUUGAGAAUUUUCAACCUCCUUAUUUCAAUCAAUUCUGUAAUAGAGUUCAAAUACCGUACAUAUUUACUUGAGUCUAAUGUGCCAUCAAAUCUAAUGUGUACCUCAAUUUUCAGAACCUUGAAACCAAAAAAAGUAUUUGCUGGUUAAUGUAAAUGUACCAUUGAAUCUAAGUAACCUUAAUUUUCACAACGUAAUUUGGCCAGAACAGGUGAGUAUUAGAUUCAAGUAAAUUUGGUAGCAGUAAACGCUCAGUACUUUUAGUCCCAUUUCUAUGGGAGUAAGUUCAGCAAGUAGACAUAAUGUCUGAAUGUAGACAUUCAGUCAUUUAAAAAACCCUCUCUCUCUCUCUCUCUCUCUCUCUCUCUCUCAUACACACACAGAGAGAGAGAGGGGGGAGAGAGAGAGAGAGAGAGAGAGAGAGAGAGAGAGAGAGAGAGAGAGAGAGAGAGAGCAGCUUUGUAACUUUAUUGCAAGGAAGUCCAGCAAAUGUGGCAAAUAAUUACACAGUACAAAUAUACUGGAUAUAAUAGAGAGACAGUUAUAUGAGUUGGAUUUGGAAAUGAAUCCAGGAUUGCUGCCCUAAAGUGGGUGGCUUUUCUACCAUCUGAUAGCACCUUUGUUCCAGGUUCACAAAGACCUAGACAUGUCUCCUCAGAAGUAAAUUCUACCUAGCUAAAUGGGGCUUGCUCCAAGAUAAGCAGGUAUACAAUUACAGCCUAAAUAUCUUUUAAGGCAGCCCAUUCUCUUGAAGUUUGCAAAUACCUGUUCAUCUGUGCAAAUCCCUAAAUUUUACAAUGCCACAAAUUGCAAAAUAAACCCUAUAUACAUCAAGGCCAACAGCACUGUAUAGUUGUCACAUGUAGGGUAAUGAAGACCAUGAACACAUGCACAAACUGGGGACCUGUUUGAGACCCCAUGAAACUUUUCUUCCCAGUUCCAUAAACUGACAGCAUAAAUAAACCUUCAUGGGUUUAUUUAUGGGUAAAAAGAUUCAUUUGGAACUGGAAAGUGGGCUUCAGCUUCUCAUCUUUAAAGCCACAUGGAGAUUGACCAGCCCCACCUUUUCCCCAGCUCCUGGGCCACAGCUCUGGAAGGUCAGUCAAGCCCUGAAAGGAACUGCAAGCAGCAUUGAAAUGUUAUGAAGGAGAAGAGCCUGUUUUUGCUCAUAGAGUCCAGGGGCUCCGGGCUCCCAUGGGGGCUUACCAUCCAGAACCCCCAGCUUCUCCCUCCUUUCAAAGUCAAAGCUGGUAGUGGGCAACUGAGGAUGAGACUGCAUCUCCCCAUACCCUGGGGAGACAUCUGGAGGCUGCAUACUCCCCUCUACAGCUUAUAAAUUUCCCCAUGGGGGUUGGAGAGAUGGAAUUUUCAACCAUCUUCUACGGUGAUCCAAGCAGAAGUCCGGCAAAAGUCCUAUCCUUGACCACUGAGCCUGCUAGCAUAAAGGGUACAGUUUCCAAGUGCCACCAAAGCACUAUUUAGCUAUUCAACAGAAUGUAUAGUACCACAUGCACUGACCCCUCCACUUAUGAACUUCACAUACUCAGCAUUCCUGGACUGUGUAAACAUAGACGUUUAAGUUCAAGUUUGCAUUUAAUUGGAUUUGUCACACAUUUUCCUUCACUGGAAUUCUAGAUACCAACAGAACCACCAACAGGACCAUCAUCAGAACUACCAACAAUAUCAGUGGCGAACACCCCCAAGAGCUGUCUGGAAACCUUUUGGAUCGUUCAGUGUUCAGUGGUGGGCUGACUAGUCAAUCCUCUGCAGCACUAAGGAGUCCCUGUAAGACUAAAACAAUAUAGGUUAUCAUCUUUCCAGGACAAAGGAAUUACACCAAAUCUUCUCAACUGCAUAUCUCCCUCAACCUGCGCAGGACACACACAAAAACCCCACUUAAGUCAAGAGGUGAGAUAUUAACUGAGACAGCCCCAUGGCUCUUAUGGUGGCCAAGAAUCACCAUGUUCUGGUCCUGUGGAGGAGCACAAUGCAGGUCAGCAAGCACUUCCAGUGAGCAACUUGUUCCAACAAAGAAUGGAAAUGAAUGGAGGUAUUUUGAGCCUCUGCCUCCUUUGGGAGAACUAAUCUAUUGAAGAGCCAACCCUCUAGAGUGAGGACUCCUGCAUGACCUAUAGCCUGGUACACUCCCUGCUUGUUGUACUGGUGAGGUUGGGUUGAGAGGCACUUGGUUCCCUGAGCCCAGGAAAGGCACCUGUGAGGGUCCUUGCUCUGGUUCUUUGGGCCCUUGUGCUGCAGGAUCUGGUUCAGGGGCUCCUGCCUGCUAGCUUUGCAUGCAGUGGUCUCCUGAUCACCAUCGUCUGCUCAGAGCCAGAAACUUGACCUGACUCCUGGGCUGGCAACUCCUUUGACUCGGCAUCCUGGUCACUGCUGGACUCCAGAGAAAUAACAUGAAUUAUUUUUUUAAGCCCACCAGACAAGGGGGGCAAAGUAGGAAUGCUGAUAUGGAGGUAACUGAACACAGACAGCCUGUGACUAUACUGAGAUAAUAUCUUGACACUUGCAUCUCACCAUAGUUUGCGUUCAUAAUGACAAUACGCAUGCAAGGCUAUUGGAUCAGAGUUCAUAUUCUGCCAGCUCCCAUUAAAAAAAAUAUUUCAGGUACACCUUUGAGAGACACAGUCAUAUCAUCCCAAAACAAGUUAUUUCUCUUAUUGCCCUAUGGAACAUACAUAACCAUAAAUGAAGACAAAAUGCCUUUUUUGGAACAGGACGCUUCAAAUUCCUGUCUCUCCAACUUAAACCCGAAUAAAGAGACAAUUCAAGCAAGGGACCAGCAUGGGCCCUUUCUUCCUUUGAAAAUAAACCGCUGCCAUGGAAGAAUAGCCCUACUCAGGAGGUAAUGAGUAUGCAUAUUGGGAGAUAUUCAUGUUUCUUUGCUACAGACACAGGUCUCGGAGAGCUAUAUUUGAAGUGAUUCUCUCUUUUUUUUUACAAUGUUCUAUACUGUGUUUCUUAAUGCUACAAUUGCAUCGAUUGAAGUCAGCAGAUCCUUCACUGCAUCCUGUGUAAAUCUCUUGAGCAUUUCAAGUGACCCCAUGGCUCAGGGUAAAACAUUUAAAAAGAACAGCUUGCUUUUCAGAUACGAUUGACAAGGGCCAACACUUCUCAAGGUACAAAACACAGAAGCUAUUUUCACCUCCCUCAUUAACUCACAACAUAAUGCUUAGAAUAUAAGAUGAUCACUGUCUAUAACAGUGGUUCUCAAACUUUUUUCUCUGGGUCACACUUUCAGAAUUUAAAAAAAAUUCUACUUUAUAAUAUGAUAAUGGGACAUCCAGAAAAUAUAAAACAAUGCAGUUAGAUAAGAACAUGAAUCAUUCCCAGAAUAUAAUUAUAAACGAGUCUUCUCUAGCACUCUAUUCAAAUGGUGACCGAAUCAUAACUAAGUAUCACUUAGAAUCAUAGAAUCAUAGAAUCAUAGAGUUGGAAGAGACCACAAGGGCCAUCCAGUCCAACCCCCUGCCAAGCAGGGGGGUACACACAGAGCCAACCCCUUGAUGCUCUUGCUCUCAUUUUGAAAAUAUAUCCAUAUUCUGCAAAUAAUUUUUUUAUACUAUACUAUACUACACUGAAAUAUUUAAAUAUUUCCUUGAUUGUCCUUGAAUCUUCUCACCCCCCUUGCCAUCCUCUCCAGCCACACCCUUUGAGAACACAGCAUGUUUUGCUUACGUUCUUUCCAUUUACUUUUCUAGUCUAACUCUUGAGUCAAACACUAAUACCAUAUUACAGUUUUUCCAUUAAGGAACAAACUCAACUUCUAGAGCAGGCAUCCCCAAACUGCGGCCCUCCAGAUGUUUUGGCCUACAACUCCCAUGAUCCCUAGCUAACAGGACAAGUGGUUGGGGAAGAUGGGAAUUGUAGUCCAAAACAUCUGGAGGGCCGAAGUUUGGGGAUGCCUGUUCUAGAGUUUUCUAACCAAGUCACAAUUUAUUUCACAUUAUUGUACAGCUGAGUGAAAAAUAAAUAAAAAUAAAAUAAAAAUACAUGUUCUGUGGGAUAGUAAUGAUGUUAAAGAGGCAAAUCACAUUUGUAUUGAUUUGUAUUGAUUUUUACUGAGGGGAGCAGCUGUCCCCCUGCCCCCGGCUACUCUCAUGGUGUGCACCCAUGGAUUUUUGCCUUUGUGGAAAAGGGGGCAGGAGCACACAGAGGAAUGGCCUGGGGUGCACCCUUGAGCCCCAAACACAAGUUUAACCCUGAAACAACGCCUCUUGGAGGGACCCACACUGUUGCUUGAGGUGAUAUAACAAUGCAAGGCUUCCAUGUGUGCCCGCACCACAAAACAGCCUCUCACCUCCACAGAUGUCUCCACCAAAAGUGGUGUGUGGUAGGCUCCUCAGAACCCAACUCACCAACCACUGGUGAUUAUGGCUAAUAUGGAGGUGGGCACCAUGGCCUGCCCAGGGGCCUGAGGCAUAGCUCACUGGGAUACAUGGAGGAUCAGCCUGGUCAACAUGUCAGAGCCAUGCUCUACUACAGCUGAGGAAGGUCAGGGACUCACAAAGACACUUUCUCACCUCCAGACAUUAAGGUGUGCCUGGGCACCCCCUGUAUGCACACCUAUGCCUAAAAUUAAACUACUACUUCAAUGCUUUUUUUGGAAAUGCCGAAUGUCAGAUUCUUUCCAAAAACAUUUCUCCCUUUUUUUUGGUGCCCCUGCUUUGCUCACUCUUCCUCCGUUUUUCUGUUAUCUUUUUAUUAUUUAUUACAUAUCCCCACCUAAACCUAUUUCUUGGGCUAAUGCUGACAGAUGCUAGGCUAGGUUGCCAAAAGUUGGAAGACAGGUGUUCAGUUAACAGCUGAGAAUUGGAUAAGACGCUUUUCAUUUAUAACUGUGACUGAAAAACUGAUGUUUGAUUUGUUAUUCAUGAAUGCACUUUACUUUUUGCUGUAUGGCAUGUAUUCCUUAAGUAUACAUGGCAACAUCACUGUGCUGUGCAAAUGUCAGCCAUGGGACACAGUAUAGUAACACCUGGUAUUAUCCUGGACAAUAAAGACCUACACUGAAAAGAGGCAUCUUGCCAUAGUGGCUUUCAUUACCUUUCAACUUUAAGGUUGCCAUAUUUCAAAAAGUGAAUUUCCUUUUUUUGCUUGAGCUUUUUGUUUUCUUUUUGCCCAAAGCUAUUGAAGAAGAAGAUUUGGAGCUAUUUUUGUGGAAGUUCACCAAAAACUACACUUCUGACAUGGGUUGGGUUUCCAACCAAGUCGGUUUAGGUUCAGCAGUUCUAAGAAUCUGUCACCUCCCUGGAACAUCAAAUACAAUCCAAUGCAGACAAUGAAGAUCUUCGUGACUGUACUACUUAUUCUACAUCAAAUAUCUCCUGUCUAGGUUCAAUGGACAGAGAACGUUUAAUGGCUGCCAGAUUCUCAAAUCGAAUUAAUGUGAAUUAUUAGGAUUUAAGCCAAUUGGCUAAAACUCAAAUUCUAAACAUAUUACUUAGAAGCAUGUCCCAUUGAUUUCAAUAGGACUUAUUUCCAAGAAACAUGUAUAGUGUCGGGGUAUUAAUCAACUUAAGAUCCUUGUACUUAGCUGAGCUGUAGAUCAGCUUGAACUUUAUGGGGCUUAUAUUGGUUUAAUGUAGGUGGAUUUACCUGGAUUGCAGAUUGGGCUGCUUUUUAAACAAAGGGAUAGACAGACUUACAUUUUACAAAAGCAAGAGCACUAUUGCUUCCCAAAGCAUAUGAUUUUAAGCUUUCUCUUCUUCUGUUAUCUUAAUCUGCUAAGGGCAUUUUGAAACGAGUCUGUUAAUGUACAGAGUCACUCAUCAGUACACACCUGUUGCAGGAGACCACAAACCUAUUUCCUCCAGCUACUGUGCUGGAUGCAAAACAAUCCACCUGCUGGAUUGUGUGUUGUGUGUUGUAGCAUAAUUUACACCCCAUCCCCCACAAUUUUGAAAUGUUUCUCCAAGUUGAUUAGAAACUGUGUGAUCCCUGCUGACCAACUAACCUAAAAUACACACACACACACUCCGCACCAGCAGGGAUGUCUUUCCCACUACACCUUUCCAUCAUUUGAUGAACCUUUUCCCACCCAGUGAAAAUGUGUUUUUCAUUUGCUUGCUUUCCCUCUACAACAUUGGUGCGAUCACACACUGCAACCACAGAACAUGACUGUUCUCUAUACAGCCCCCAAAGAAGUAUAAAUUUCUUUAAAAACAAUCUGAAAACACUUUCUAUAAAUAAAUAAAUAAAUAAAUCUCAAAGCGGUUUACAAAAGCAGUAAUAAAAAAGCAAUAAAACAAUUUAAUGAAUAUCAUCAUUACAGCUCUAAAAGCAGUUCAAAUUGGCCCCAAUUAUUAGGAAGUGGCAAAGAGCCAUGGUCUUAAUAGACCCCUAAAGCAUACAGUUGUUGAUGCCUGUCAUAUUACAGAAAGGAGUUUCUCACAUAAGCUAGGUCCACUUUUUAUCAUAGCAUGCUAAAAAGUACUGCAUUUCUUUCCUUCUUUUUGGCAGGGCUUUUUUAAAUCAGGAAAC